AUACGGAGGAUGCGAGCGUUAUCCGGAUUUAUUGGGUUUAAAGGGUGCGUAGGCGGUUUUUUAAGUCAGCGGUGAAACGCAAGGGCUCAACCCUUGACCUGCCGUUGAAACUGGAGGACUUGAAUGCGGAUGCUGUGGGAGGAAUGUGUGGUGUAGCGGUGAAAUGCAUAGAUAUCACACAGAACACCGAUUGCGAAGGCAUCUCACAAAUCCGUGAUUGACGCUGAGGCACGAAAGUGUGGGGAUCAAACAGGAUUAGAUACCCUGGUAGUCCACACUGUAAACGAUGAUGACUCGCUGUCGGCGAUAUACAGUCGGUGGCCAAGCGAAAGCGAUAAGUCAUCCACCUGGGGAGUACGCCGGCAACGGUGAAACUCAAAUGAAUUGGCGGGG
rnacentral:rRNA from 1 species